rnacentral:lncRNA from 1 species
UUCAAAAGGCCUAGUUGUUGAUACUAUAUUCUUUGAUUUGAAAGAUGAUUUAGUUUGUUUUCCCAAUGAACAUGGUCCACAGAUUUUGACUUUUUCAAAAAUCAAUUUUGGCACAUCCUUUAUCAAUUCCUUCUUGACUAGUUUUGAGAUUAAUUCCAUACUAGCAUGUCCUAGUCUACGAUGCCAAAGCCAACUUGUUUC